AGAGUUUGAUCCUGGCUCAGGAUGAACGCUGGCGGCGUGCUUAACACAUGCAAGUCGAACGGAGCUUAGAUGAUAGAGACUUCGGUCAAUUGACUUUAAGCUUAGUGGCGGACGGGUGAGUAACGCGUGAGGAAUCUGCCCUGGAGUGGGGAAUAACACAGUGAAAAUUGUGCUAAUACCGCAUAAUGCAGUUGAGUCGCAUGGCUCUGGCUGCCAAAGAUUUAUCGCUCUAGGAUGACCUCGCGUCUGAUUAGGUAGUUGGUAGGGUAACGGCCUACCAAGCCGACGAUCAGUAGC
rnacentral:rRNA from 1 species